rnacentral:lncRNA from 1 species
CUUUACCAAGCAUUUUCACAAUAUACUUGAAUAAUUUAAGUUGGUUUCUCCAUAGCAGGUUUUUAGUAUACUUUUAUUAUUUGAAGCAGUCAAAAUAUAUGAUAGCUCAAUGCAUUUGUUUUGUAAAUGCUUUUUAAGUCACGCUAUUUCCUGCACAGUGGUCUGUGAAAUAGAAGAGGCCCUAAGCUCUUCCUAAAGAGGAGUUCCUCAUUUUCCUACUAGUGCAAAGAAAUUAAAAAGGUUCUACCAAAGGCCAUGGAGUAGGAGAAGAUUGGCAUUUUUCCAAAUAUCGUUUCUUUUGUGGAACUUUUUCAAAAUACUAUUCCUCAGUCUCCUCUACAGCAUAUUCUGAUUCAGUAGAUAUGGAGUGGGGCCCUUGAAGCUGUAUUUUUUAAAGUUCUGCAAGUUAUUCUGGUGCCUGCCAGGUCUGGCUUCGGAGUUGCAAUUAGAUGGAUGCCAACUGGCAUGAUUAAAAUACUUCUGGAUUGGAAAAGCUUUCAGGCCUUUAUAAAGCAGAGCAAUUUGAUUCAAUUCAGCAACAUUUUUGAAUGUCUACUCUGUGUCAGACACUUUGGUGUGUGCUGCAGAAACAAAGGUGAAUACCACACCAUUCUUUUCCUCCAUUGGCUCAAAGACUAGAGAUAGUUUAGUGAGGGAGAGAUAAGUGAGUGAGAAGGAGGGAAGAAGACAUAAAGAGAGAGAGGGAAAGGGAGAAACGUGGGAGAGAGAGAGAAGGAACGAAUUAACAUAUCUGCAGUGUGGCAAGGAAGAUGACCGUUACUUCCACUGGAAUUAACAGAGGAACAAGGAAGGAAGAAAGCGCUACAGAAGAGAAGGAUUUUCAAACAAAAACAAUUGGUAAUUUUUCUGCUGAACUGGAAAAUCAUAAUGUUAGGAUCAGAACCCUUGAAGCCAUCUACAUGGUGAGUAUGUAUAUUCCAUCAGAAACAGAGCUUAAAAAAAAAAAGGAAAGAAAGAAAAAUAAAAGAAAAAGAAAUAGAGCUCAGAGAGCAUAAGGAAAGUGUUACCUACAUAUUUGUUAAGAAUAGCUCAUACAGUAUAGAGAAAGUGCUCUUAAAACUGCAUGUUUUUAAAAGAUUUAUUUGUGUAUUUUGGAGAGAGAGAGACUGUGUGAGCAGGGGCAUGGGCAGAGGGAGAGAAGGAGACUCCCCCCUGAGCAUGGAGGCUGAUGUGGGGUUCAAGGUGAGGUUGAAGGGUUGGCUUGACAAGGGGCUUGAUCCCAUGAACCUGAGAUCAUGACAUAGCAGAAACCAAGACUCAGAUGUGUUUAACUGAGAUGUGAUAAACUGUGUUUAUCCCAGGCCACCCUGGAUAGGUUCUUGAAUAUUAUUCCUUACAUUCCC